CGCGUACAGUGCAUGAAAGCUGCGAAUUAGGUGUUUAUCACAACUUAGCUCUCGAUCUACACGCUGCGAUAAAACUCUCCAGAUCUGAAAUGUAAACCUAGCUUUCAUCCUUUUCUUUCUCGAACUCUCCGCUCAGUUUCACAUUUUCUCCCUCAAACCCUAGAAUUAUUUCAUCGAUCUCUCUCUCUCUCUCUCUCCUUUAGAUCAAUUCUUUCUCCCCAUGAAGUGUAAGUUUCCCACUGAUUUCAUGGGAGAUUUGGCAAGUUCCGACGCCAAAUGCUGCUUUCUCGACAUUUCCCCCGAAGAAUGAGGGAAUUUGGGACCGACAGUUGACUCUUUAUUCCCGAAUAUUGUAGAAACUCCUCCAUAUCUGCCGGACUUCGAAGGAACACCGACGUUAUUACCAAAGAUGAACAGAUGCAGAGAAAAUCAAUCUGGUAGUGUGCUAAAUUUCAUCCACCACACACAUUUUUACUUCUCAUUCUCCGACGGUGGCAUUAGUGGCCUGCUCAUCGGCUUAUUCCAGAAGGUUGAAGGUUCAAAGCAGAAUUCAAACCUACGAGUAGAUCAACAAAGAUGACGGAAGCGAUCCAUCACUAAACAUUGUUGCUAGGAUACGUGGUGCAACUGUGAGUCAAUUUUACAUCUUACGUUUGCCUGUUGAUACUCCACCACAAGAUCUUCAUGCACCAGAUUUCUUAAAUGACCUACACCCUGGAGAUCACAUUGAGAUCCAAUGGAGACGGAAUAAAGAAUUCCCUUAUGGUUUCAUGAGUUGGAGGCUACACAGUUCCUCCUGAUUUCAUCUUGCUUACUCUACCAAGCUUUCUCAUGGCAGUGCUGGAAGUUGAGUUAAAGUUGCCUGCAGAUUCAUAUACCGCCAACCUUGUAAUAAACGAGGGAGAGUCUGUGUAUGCCUAUUGUUGGUACCCUUACAUGUCUGCUUCAGAUGGACUGUUGUAAAGUGUAUAUUGAUUAUGUCAGUUUUUCACUUGUGUCCAUGCGGCACUUUUGCCUUGUACUCAUUGCUAUGCCGGCAUGCAAACCUUGGGUGUUCUUCCUACUGAUGAUAAGUUAUCUGCAAUAUAUCUAUUGAGGGAUCCGAACAGACAACAAGGAAUUCUGCUUUCAAGCUACCAUAUGAAAAGCAUGAAAGAUUUCAUAAAGCGUUGAUGAUCUUUGUUUUUCUGGGAACAUGUAUGACUAUUGGUGAUGGUGUUCUCACACCAGCAAUAUCAGUUCUUUCGGCAGUGUCUGGAGUUCGUCUAAAAUUCACGGGACUUCAUGAAAAUUAUGUCGUUGUGGUUUCCUGCAUCAUUUUGGUAGUCCUGUUUUCUCUCCAACAUCAUGGAACACAUAGGGUUUCUUUCAUGUUUGCACCAAUUGUUUUAGCAUGGCUCCUUUGUAUCAGCAGCAUCGGUGUUUAUAAUAUUAUAAGGUGGUCAUUUUGUGUUUAAUGAUUUAGUCAGGUAUUGAAUAUUGUUCAUCUGAUUGUUUUAAUUAGGAUAGAAAUGUUGAUGUAAUAUCUAGAUUGAUUGAAUAUCAAUUGUUGGUUUGGCUUAGAAUGUGAUGGUGGCUUGGUGUUUAUUGCUAUAAACAGGUGGUGGGUGAUUUUUUUUGUAAAAUAAAUGUACUAUUUGCAGCGCGCACCGUUAAGUGAAAGUUGUGAAUAGUGUCAGAAA